rnacentral:lncRNA from 1 species
CUGUGCUGGAGGUCUUCCGCCAUCUACCAAGUUCUGUGCUCUGAUUGUGACCAACCCCACCUCUGCCCUGGCAGGGGUCAGGCCUUCACCCAUAGGAGCACUCUCUUUGCCUUACUUGGCUCCUGCGGAUCCCCAGGAGAGGGCGGUGAUGCUGUCCGCGGUGCUGAUUCAGAGGUUAAAGUUGGCCCCAAGAGAAAGAAGACGUUGACAGCAGCCACCAAGCUCUAAGGAUCGGUGGAGGGGCAGGUACUAUUGCAGCCCUCACAGAUCACUGCUAUCUGUUGGCUCACCUUGCUGGCGUGAAUUAACAGCUGCUCAACUGCUGAGAGGCAAGGAAAGUGUCAGAGAAAGCCAAUGGCUGGACUUCAAGGGGCAAGGACCAUCAAGCCUUGAGAACCCGGAUGAGUACAGCCAAGAAGAGGACAGACAAAGCAAGGUGCCCCCUCUGGCUGCUCUGAAGGGAGCAGGUUGAAGGGCUAGCUGGAGAGGAG